rnacentral:rRNA from 1 species
UACGGAGGGGGCUAGCGUUGUUCGGAAUUACCGGGCGUAAAGCGCACGUAGGCGGCUUUGUAAGUUAGAGGUGAAAGCCCGGAGCUCAACUCCGGAAUUGCCUUUAAGACUGCAUCGCUAGAAUUGUGGAGAGGUGAGUGGAAUUCCGAGUGUAGAGGUGAAAUUCGUAGAUAUUCGGAAGAACACCAGUGGCGAAGGCGACUCACUGGACACAUAUUGACGCUGAGGUGCGAAAGCGUGGGGAGCAAACAGG